GAAGGGUGCAAGCGUUACUCGGAAUUACUGGGCGUAAAGCGUGCGUAGGUGGUGCGUUAAGUCUGUCGUGAAAGCCCCGGGCUCAACCUGGGAAUGGCGAUGGAUACUGGCGCGCUAGAGUGCGGUAGAGGAGAGUGGAAUUCCCGGUGUAGCAGUGAAAUGCGUAGAGAUCGGGAGGAACAUCAGUUGCGAAGGCGGCUCUCUGGACCAACACUGACACUGAGGCACGAAAGCGUGGGGAGCAAACAGGAUUAGAUACCCUGGUAGUCCACGCCCUAAACGAUGCGAACUGGACGUUGGGAGCAACUAGGCUCUCAGUGUCGAAGCUAACGCGUUAAGUUCGCCGCCUGGGGAGUACGGUCGCAAGACUG
rnacentral:rRNA from 1 species